GUGGCUAUAGCUCAGUUGGUUAGAGUACCAGGUUGUGGCCCUGGGGGCCGUGGGUUCGAGUCCCACUAGCCACCCCA
rnacentral:tRNA from 1 species